AGUUGAAAAUUUAAUUGUGAUAUGUUUUUGAUAAAUUCAAUUCAUAAUAGGAAACUCCUAAAAAUAGCAGAUGAUUGGUAACCUUUCCUAAAGAGAGGAAACUCAAAAUCUACUUUUAUCAAUAUUUAUGUUGUUUCCGGAAAUUAUUCGAUAGAGAAGUGUAGUGACCAGGCUUCUGGUUUUUAUUUGAUCAGAGAAAGCCAAAUUACAGAGUAAUACCUCUAUUUCUUCGAAUUUUGGUUGCUCUUAGAACCCAUUUCCCACACCUUACUGAAUCAGAGAGAGAGACAGAGAGGUGAGAUUCAGAGAGAGAGAGAGAGUGUGUGAGGGCUGCUUACAGUUAUUUUUGUUGUACGUAGAUGGAAGAGACAAUGGUCGAUGAGACAGGGUUAGAUGAAGAAGAGCAAAGGAAAAAGUUAUUAGGAGGAGAGGUGAACGUUGGAAUCUACUGAGAAAGGUGAAUGGUGGGAA